UACGAAGGGGGCUAGCGUUGCUCGGAAUCACUGGGCGUAAAGGGUGCGUAGGCGGGUCUUUUAAGUCAGGGGUGAAAUCCUGGAGCUCAACUCCAGAACUGCCUUUGAUACUGAAAGUCUUUGAGUAUGGGAGAGGUGAGUGGAACUGCGAGUGUAGAGGUGAAAUUCGUAGAUAUUCGCAAGAACACCAGUGGCGAAGGCGGCUCACUGGCCCGGAACUGACGCUCAGGCGCGGACAGCGUGGGGGAUCAAAACAGG
rnacentral:rRNA from 1 species